rnacentral:rRNA from 1 species
UACGAAGGGGGCUAGCGUUGCUCGGAAUGACUGGGCGUAAAGGGCGCGUAGGCGGUUCGUACAGUCAGACGUGAAAUUCCCGGGGCUCAACCUGGGGGCUGCGUUUGAUACGUACGGGCUUGAGUUCGGAAGAGGGUCGUGGGAAUUCCCAGUGUAGAGGUGAAAUUCGUAGAUAUUGGGAAGAACACCGGUGGCGAAGGCGGCGACC